rnacentral:rRNA from 4 species
CUCUCGGCAACGGAUAUCUCGGCUCUCGCAUCGAUGAAGAACGUAGCGAAAUGCGAUACUUGGUGUGAAUUGCAGAAUCCCGUGAAUCAUCGAGUCUUUGAACGCAAGUUGCGCCCGACGCCAUUCGGCCGAGGGCACGUCUGCCUGGGUGUCACGCACCGUUGC